rnacentral:rRNA from 1 species
GUGGAUGCCUUGGCACUAAGAGCCGAUGAAGGACGUAAUUAACAGCGAUAUGCCACGGUUAGUUGUAAAUAAAUGAAGAUCCGUGGAUUUCCGAAUAGGGCAACCUACUACAUUAAAAUUGUAGUUUUUUGAUUUUUUUUGUCAAAAAGGGAAACGCAGUGAACUGAAAUAUCUAAGUAACUGCAGGAAAAGAAAGUAACAACGAUUCUGGUAGUAGUGACGAGCGAAUCCGGAACAGCCUGAUACUAUUCAAACUAGUUACAAAAUUUUAAUUAACUUGAAUUUUUUGGAAAGAAAAACCAAAGGAGGUGAUAGUCCUGUAGAGGAAUAAUUAAAAUCUAGAGUAUCAAAAAGUACGGCGAGACACGAGAAAUCUUGUCGGAAGACGGGAGGACCAUCUCCCAAGGCUAAAUACUCCUUAGUGACCGAUAGUGAACUAGUACCGUGAGGGAAAGGCGAA